rnacentral:lncRNA from 1 species
GUGAUUUUUUUUUAAGAGAAGGAAAAAAAAAACACUGAGUAGAUGAGUAAUUAGACCAACAAUCUUGGUUCAUUUACCUAAAUUACCAGACAACAGAACCAUAUAAAAUAAAAUGUCAAUGACUCAACACAAAUUAGUUUAGAUGAGAUAGAUGGCAUACAUUAGUCAUGAACCUCAAGUUGCUCGUGAAUGAUUAUAGUUCAUUGAGCCAGUCCGCAAAUAUAUCAAUUUUACUGAAGAAUUUUCCCAACAAUCAUGCUGCAUUCAAUCUUUUUAUGGAAUUAUUCAUCAAUUUAGUUUUAUAUUUAUUCUUUACAUUUACAACACAUGUAUAUAUGGUAGGUGCAUAAGUUUAGAAUUUUUCUUAUGUUGAUAGGAUUGUUUCCUUAUGAGAAACAUCCACUCUAUGUAUAUAUAUGUAACACAUGUUUAUGAAUGGAUGUAUGGAAUAAGUUAUUUCUCCAAAAUCAACAUGGUAUCAAGCAAGGUUCUCAAAAUUAGGGUUUGUGAGUUUUUUCGAUAAUUUGGGUGGCUGUUCUCAGUGGUAGUAACGAAGCUCGUGCAUGAGAGACCUUCUAGCUUCAUCGUCUUCUCCUCCAUCGUCAUUUGCCCUCUCCUUCCGGUGGUUGAGUCGAAAGUAGUCGACUAAUUUUUGGGCUGGAGACUGGAAUAGCUGAUAUUGGUUGAAUUGAUUGGGCUUUGGCGGGUCAGCAUUAGUGGUUUAGUUUUAUCUUGGCUUUAAUUGAUCUAUUUUGAUUGGGCUGCCCUUUAUCUUACCUACAAUAUUAUAAUAAUAUUAUUAUUAAGUUGCUUUGGAAUUUUUCUUUUGAGCUACUUUCUGUUGUGUACCCUUUGGUCAUCUGUUAAACAUGGUUGAACGUGAUAUGAAAAUGAUGAAUGAAAUCACAGUAAACCCAUCCCCAAAAAUCACAGAAAGAAAGUUAACGGGUAGUAGAAAUUAUGCUCAAUGGAAGAGAAUUGUUCGUAGGUAUGUGUCAAGUUUUGAUUUGGGUGAUCACAUGACUGAUAAUCCAACUCCACAUUCUGAUACUAAUCCUGGGAUUUGAAGAAAAUGGUUGAUAGAGGAUGAUAAACUCUUUAAAUAGAUUCAAAAUACUCUUGACCCGACAGUGGAUGACGUUAUUAAUUAUUACUCUGAAAGAACUGUGGGACUAUCUAGAGCUUAUGUAUGCUAGCAAACAUUAUGUAUUGCAUGUUCAUGAACUGAUGCUGAAAUUUUAUCGGGCUGACAAAAGGGGCGAAAUCUGUUUCAAUAUUAUACUGAAGUAAAACAAGCAUUUGAAGAAAAGCGAGCCAUGUUUCCUAUUACUAGUGAUGUGAAGAAGAUGCAAGAAAAAAAGAGCAGACUGUGGUCCAGUGUUUUCUUACAGGAUUUGGUCCUGAAUAUGAGGUGGCUCGUACUCAAUUACUUACCAUGAGGCAUUAUCUUUGUUGAGUGAUAUAUAUGCUCGUCUCCUUCAGGUAUGCAAGGACAAUGACAAGGAGCAAGGUAUAGUACCAAAUGAGAUGGUAGCUCUAGUUGGAACAAAUUCAAAAUUAAAUAAAAAUUACAAUAAUAAAGGAGGAGGAGGAGGUAGUCAAGAUAAAAUUUCUAGCUGUAGUUCUCAUGGUUGUUAUUAAUGUGGAGAGCAAGGACAUAUUAGAAGGAAUUGAUGGAAAUUGAAUGGUAAACUAGCAAAGAACACAAGUCAGACUCCCACGAAAAAGUUUGCAAAUGUUGCCGCUCAGGAUGGUCUUUUACCUACACCUUCUACUUAGCCUCAAAUUACAAUUUCAGCAGAUGAAUAUACCCUCCUUACACAAUUUCACGCUUCUCAACUGCCUCUUACAACUUCCACUUCCACUUUAGCUAACACAGGUUAAUCUAUAGCAUGUCUCUCUACCGCAUCCCAUAAUUGGGUCAUUGAUUCCGGUGCCAUAGAUCAUAUGACUGGGAAUACAGGUAUACUUUCAUCACUUCAAUACUCUUUCAAUUUACCAUGCGUCACUUUAGCUAAUGGGUCCACAACUCCUGUUAUUGAAUGUGGGACUAACAUCCAACAAACUCUCUUCCAAUGUCAUAUGUUUUAUGUUUACCUACGUUUCCUUUUAAUCUUUUAUCUGUGAGUCAAAUUACUAAAUCCCUUAAUUGUAGUGUUCUUUUCUUUCCUAACCAUUUCGUUUUCCAGGAUCUUAGGACGAAGCAGAUUAUUGGUAGGGGGCCUGAGCUCAAUGGCUUAUAUGUGCUAGAUUCUUUCCCUACACAGGUGCCAAGAUCAACUGCAUGCACUAGUGCUUCUUCUUUUCUGCAACUCCAUUGUCGCUUCGGUCAUCCUUUUCUCCCUGUUUUGAAGCAAUUAUGUCCUAGUCUUAGUCAAGUGUCCCAAUUAAAUUGUGAGCCGUGUCAAUUGGCAAAACACCAUAGAGUAGCAUAUUCUCCUAGAAUGAAUAAAUGGGUUGUGUCCCAUUUUGAUUUAAUACAUUCAGACAUUUGGGGUCCUUGUUAUAUUUUAUCUAAGUUUAGUUUUCGCUAUUUUGUUACUUUCGUGGAUGAUCAUUCUUGUGUUACUUGGUUAUAUCUUAUGAAUCGUUUUGAACUAUUCUCAAUUUUUUGUGCAUUUUAUGCUGAGAUUAAAACUCAAUUUGACAAAUCUAUAAGUAUCUUAAGGAGUGAUAAUGCCAAAGAGUAUUUCUCAUCGAAAUUUACUUCAUUUUUUUCACAAAAUGACAUUAUUCAUCAAUCUUCAUGUAUUGUUACUCCAUAACAAAAUGGAGUGGCAGAAAGAAAGAAUCGUCAUUUAUUGGAAGUCGCACGAGCUCUCCUUUUUCAUAUGAAAGUUUCAAACAAAUUUUGGGCAAAUGCAGUCUCUACUGCAUGUUACUUAAUCAAUUGUCUGCCUUCAUCUAUCUUAGAUGGUAAAAUCUCUCAUUCCAUUCUAUUUCCCUCUCAGACUCUCUUCUCUCUUGUUCCUACCAUAUUUGGGUGCACUUGCUUUGUUUAAGAUAUGAGACCUCAAGUUUCCAAACUUGAUCCUAGAUCCCUUGAGUGUAUAUUUUUGAGUUACUCUCGACAUAAAAAAGGUUAUCGAUGCUUUUCUCCCUCCUUAGGAUGAUACUUAGUAUAUGCUGAUAUCACUUUUUUCGAGUCCACACCUUUUUCUAGUACUACAGUGUCCUCUAAGCCAUCUUCUAUUGAGUUUGGGGAUGACUUCCUUAUUUACACUGUAACUACACAUGUGUUAUCAGUAUCCUCUCGUCCUCCUAUUUGAAGUGUUUACACUCGUCAUGUGCAGCAAUCUUCGGUAGCACCUGAUAUUGGCUAUGACUUGCCUCCUCUACCUGCCACUUCACCUUAGGAAUCGCCACCCCCUCCUGAUCCUACUCUUGAUCUUCCCAUUGCUCUUCGAAAAGGUAAACGAUCAUACACUUAUCCUAUCUCUUCUUUUGUUUCCUACCAUGCAUUGUCACGAUCUUCCAAGUCUUUCAUUGCUUCUUUAGAGCAUGUGUCCGCACCAAAAUCUAUCUCUGAGGCUUUAUCCCAUAGUGGCUGGCGAAUAGCCAUGCAAAACAAAAUGUUGGCAUUGGAACAUAGUCACACAUGAGAAUUGGUUCCUUUACCCCUCAAUAAAAAGGCAAUUUGUUGCAAAUGGGUGUUUACCGUUAAGAUGAAUCCUGAUGGAUCUGUUGCUCAAUUGAAGGAUCGUUUGGUUGCUAAGGGGUAUGCUCAAAUUUAUGGUGUGGAUUAUUCUGAGACUUUCUCUCAUGUUGCUGAGCUAGCUUCUGUUCUGUUGUUCAUUUCUCUAACUACUACCUAUCAUUGACCGCUUCACGAGUUAGAUGUUAAAAAUGCAUUUCUCCAUGGAGAUUUGUACGAAGAAGUUUACAUGGAGCAACCACUAGGGUUUGUUGCUAUGGGGAGUCAGGGAAGGCACGCAAACUACAAAAGUCAUUAUAUGGUCUAAAACAAUCACCCUGUGCCUGGUUUAGGAAAUUUAGUGAGGUUGUGAUUGAAUAUGGCUUGAAAAGAAGUGCAUAUGAUCACUCAGUAUUCUUUAAACAAUUUAUAGUUGGGUGUAUUUUGUUAGUUGUAUAUGUUAAUGAUAUUGUGAUUACUGGUAGUGAUAGCAGUGGCAUAAGGAUGCUAAAGGCUUUCCUGGGCACAAGAUUUCAAACAAAGGAGCUAGGUCCUUUAAAAUAUUUCUUAGGGAUAGAGAUAUCUCGAAGUGAUAAAGAAAUUUUUAUAUCUCAAAGGAAAUACAUUCUGGAUCUACUGGAUGAGACAGAUUUAGCUAAAGCAAAAACUAGUGAUGCCCCUAUGAUGCCAAAUGUGAAACUUGGAGCAGAAGAUGGAAAUGUGUUUGUCGAUGCAGACAAGUAUAGCAAGGUAGUGGGAAAGUUGAACUAUCUUACAAUUACUCGGCCAAAUAUUGCGUUUCCCAUAAGUGUUGUUAGUCAGUUUAUGUCAUCUCCUAGAACUUCACAUUGGGAUGUUGUAACUCAUAUAUUAAAGUAUCUUAAAGGAGCUCCAAGACAUGGAAUUCUUUAUAGAGAUUGUAACGCCCCAGAUUUUAUUGACUUAAAUUUGAGGAGUUACCGAUAUCAUUCCAUAAUCAUACAUCAAGCGGAAAUAAAAUUUAAAACUUAAAACCUUAAUUUAUUGAAACUCAAACACUGAAUCAAAUAAAC